rnacentral:rRNA from 1 species
UACGUAGGGGGCAAGCGUUGUCCGGAAUCAUUGGGCGUAAAGAGCGUGUAGGCGGUUCGGUAAGUCCGCUGUAAAAGUCCAGGGCUCAACCCUGGAAAGCCGGUGGAAACUGUCGAACUAGAGUCCGGAAGAGGCGAGUGGAAUUCCUGGUGUAGCGGUGAAAUGCGUAGAUAUCAGUCGGAACACCGGUGGCGAAGGCGGGUCUCUGGGCCGAUACUGACGCUGAGGAGCGAAAGCGUGGGGAGCGAACAGG